rnacentral:rRNA from 1 species
AUUGAACGCUGGCGGCAUGCUUUACACAUGCAAGUCGAACGGUAACAGGGAGCUUGCUCCGCUGACGAGUGGCGAACGGGUGAGUAAUAUAUCGGAACGUACCCAAGAGUGGGGGAUAACGUAGCGAAAGUGACGCUAAUACCGUAGACGAUCCAAGAAUGAAAGCAGGGGAUCUUCGGACCUUGUGCUCCUGGAGUGGCCGAUGUCUUAUUAGAUAAUUGGUGAGGUAAAGGCUCACCAAGGCGACGAUCAGUAGCGGGUCUGAGAGGACGACCAGCCACACUGGAACUGAGACACGGUCCAGACUCCUACGGGAGGCAGCAGUGGGGAAUUUUGGACAAUGGCCGCAAGCCUGAUCCAGCAAUGCCGCGUGAGUGAAGAAGGCCUUCGGGUUGUAAAGCUCUUUUGUCAGGGAAGAAACGGGAGUGGCUAAUAUCCAUUCCUAAUGACGGUACCUGAAGAAUAAGCACCGGCUAACUACGUGCCAGCCGCCGCAGUAACAC